CUGUUGAUUGUAGCUGCAGUCGUGAUCUUCUGCAUCUGCAAGAAAUGCAGAAAAACAGUCGUGAUCCAGGAGAUAUACACAGCUGGUUUUAAACCAACAUCUCGAAUAAUGAAAUCUGAGGAGCCUGUGUAUGGAAAUAUCAUCAUAAACAAUCAGUGAUUAUCAAAUAUCAGAGUUCACGUGGAUGUUUUUCUUUUCUUUUCUUUUUCUUCUGUUACUGUUAUUUGCUGAAAUGUUGCUGCUCUGUUUUAGUUUAAUUUUGCGGUUAAUGAAUAGCACAGCAUCCAUAAACUCAAAAUGUUCUACUUUUCACCACACGGAAAUGUAAUAACUUCAUAACUUCAUCACACACAAUAUCAAUAUGCUCUGAUGGAUAUUUUGGCAAAUUUAGAAUCAUUCGUUUCG